GUAGGUGGUUUGUUGCGUNGUCUGUGAAAUUCCGGGGCUUAACUUCGGGGUGGCAGGCGAUACGGGCAUAACUAGAGUGCUGUAGGGGAGACUGGAAUUCCUGGUGUAGCGGUGGAAUGCGCAGAUNUCAGGAGGAACACCGAUGGCGAAGGCAGGUCUCUGGGCAGUAACUGACGCUGAGGAGCGAAAGCAUGGGGAGCGAACAGGAUUAGAUACCCUGGUAGUCCAUGCUGUAAACGGUGGGCGUUAGGUGUGGGGACCGGUUUGGUUUCUGUGCCGUAGCUAACGCAUUAAGCGCCCCGCCUGGGGAGUACGGCCGCAAGGCUAAAACUCAAAGGAAUUGACGGGGGCCCGCACAAGCGGCGGAGCAUGUGAAUUAAUUCGAUGCAACGCGAAGAACCUUACCUGGGUUUGACAUGCACCAGACGGUUGUAGAGAUACGUACCACCCUUUGUGGUUGGUGUGCAGGUGGUGCAUGGUUGUCGUCAGCUCGUGUCGUGAGAUGUUGGGUUAAGUCCCGCAACGAGCGCAACCCUUGUCUUAUGUUGCCAGCACGUUUAGGGUGGGGACUCAUGAGAGACUGCCGGGGUUAACUCGGAGGAAGGUGGGGAUGACGUCAAAUCAUCAUGCCCUUUAUGCCCAGGGCUUCACACAUGCUACAAUGGUUAGUACAACGCGCUGCGAACCUGUGAGGGUGAGCGAAUCGCUGAAAGCUAAUCUCAGUUCGGAUUGGGGUCUGCAACUCGACCCCAUGAAGUCGGAGUCGCUAGUAAUCGCAGAUCAGCAAUGCUGCGGUGAAUACGUUCCCGGGCCUUGUACACACCGCCCGUCACGUCAUGAAAGUUGGUAACACCCGAAGCCCAUGGCCUAACCACCGUUUGGUGGGGGGAGUGGUC
rnacentral:rRNA from 1 species